rnacentral:rRNA from 1 species
UAAAAAUUUAAUUUUAUAUAUUUAAGUAGUAUUAGUUAAGUUCUUGAAAUUUAAAAAAUUUGGCGGUAUUUUAGUCUAUUCAGAGGAACCUGUUUUGUAAUCGAUAAUCCACGAUGGAUCUUACUUAAAUUUGUUUUUAUAGUUUAUAUAUCGUCGUUUUCAGAAUAUUUUAUAAAAAUAAUAAUUUUCUAAAUUCUAAAUUAAGAAUUAUAUCAGAUCAAGAUGUAGCUUAUAUUUAAGUUUAUAAUGGGUUACAAUUUUUAUAUAAAUGGUAGUAAUUAUGAAAUUAUUUACUUAGAUUGGAUUUGAUAGUAAAUUUAUAUAGAUUAAUAAAUUGAUUUUAGCUCUAAAAUAUGU